rnacentral:lncRNA from 1 species
UCUUAGCUAGUUACACAACCAGAAAAUAAGGUAUUAACAAUCAAAGAACUAGUAUCAUUCAUGGGACAAGCCUUCCCCUGCACAUGAGCAGAGUAUUUCAUACAAGAUCACUUAAUUAUAUGCAUUUUCAAUCAAGCUGACUGAUCCAGUAGAAUAAUCAGACAUGAAAGAUGACUCUCCACAAGUGCUCAUUGGUUUCUCAUAUAGAUUUAGAACAGGUUUCGGAGGAAGUUGCAGGCUUUCCAUAUCUCCUUCAAGCAUCUCCACAACUUCAUUCAUUGCAGGGCGAUUCAUAGGAUUCAUUUGUAUACACCACAACCCUGCAAUAAUCAUCUUCUUGACUAUCUUUUCUUCCUCUUCUGUGCCACCAUCUCCAAUCUCUAUAGCCUUCUCAUUAGAGACUUGUUCAUGAACCCAAUCUGGCCAGUAAAUUUGGCUUGAAUUCUCUGUCAAUACGUUCAGAUUCUUCCUUCUGCCUGCCAUUUCCAAUAGCAACAUUCCAAAGCUAUAAACAUCAGCUUUGUAUGAGGUGCGCCCGAUGUUCUUGUAGAACAGUUCUGGCGCCAUGUAACCUAUCGUUCCCCCCGCUGCAGUGAGAGAUUUAAGACUCUCAUUUGGUGGACACAACCUAGCAAGUCCAAAGUCAGAAACUUUUGGAGUGAAAUGUUCAUCGAGUAGAAUGUUGUGAGGCUUGAUGUCAAAAUGUAGGAUCUGUAUCUCACAACCUCGAUGUAGAUAUUCGAUGCCAUGAGCCACUCCAAGGGAAAUCUCAUGCAGUUUUUCCCAGCUUAAAGAGACAGAUCUUUCUUCAGAAAAGAUGAAAUUAUUGAGAGAUCCAUUGGGCAUGAAAUCGUAUACAAGAGCGCGCUUUGAUCCCUCAGCACAAAAACCAACUAGUUGCACUACAUUGGUGUGGCGAAUCCUUCCAAUGGUAGCGACUUCAUUGAUGAAAUCUUGUCCAUUAGCGUUGGAUUUGCCCAGCAAUUUUAUCGCUGCAAAAUGUCCACUGCGAAGCUUUCCUUUAUACACGCAACCAAAACCUCCUUCACCCAACUUUUCCUUGAAACCUCCGGUCAUCUUCUUAAUCUCUGAAUAAGAAUACCUUACUACUGGCAUAAGAUUGUUAUGAGUGUGUAGGAAUUCCUCAACUGUGUCAUAUGCUGAUAGAUGUCUUCGUUGCCAUUUAUAGAUCAAGAAUGCAAUCACAAAAGGACUCCCAAAGAUAAAUUUUGGCCCCUGAAGUAGUGCUGUGUGUGAAAUUUGAGGGGGGAAAUCAAGACAGAAAUCAUGAUUAUUUCUUAUUAAUUAUCAGAUAAAUACACAACAUGGGUUAGGUUUGGUGUUAGAAUUAUUUCGCCACGUUGAAAAAUCAUAUAAAAUCUAGACCAUCAUGAUUUGUAGAAAAGGUUCAAUCAAGUUUCAUAAGAACAUACUGAGUAACCUAAAGGGCUGUCUCAGGCAUUAGGCCUCCAAAUAACCAAUAUCAUUUUCUAUCUGCUAAUAAAAUACGAUCAAAUAUCAUAAACUAAAAAAAAAUAAUAAUCAAUAAGGGAAGUUCUUACCAAUUAAUAGGAAUACACACAGCAGGACGACUGCAGAGAAGGUAAACAAAUUUAGAGAUAUUUUAAAAAGAACUGUCUGGAAUUAUGGAAUCAAGAAUGAAAAAUUGGGAGAUAGAAUCCUCACCUUCGGUUAUCUCAAGCCAAGAAGAUCCUGUUGGACCAAGUGAUCAGUUACAAAAAUUAGCUGUGAUUUGAGCAAAUAUUACAAGAUGAAGAGAAUUAAGAAGCAGCAGCUGUAUGACAUAGAAAAAUUAGAUUGGAAGCAAUCAUCUAUUAUCUAUAUGAUAUCACCAACUGCAGCCUAUGAUAGCUAGAUUGAAUUGACUGUGAGUUCCUCAAUACUAUAAUAGGCUACUGAAAAGCUCAGAUGCCAGAAAUGGGGGAUUCAUGCCAAAAGAAUUUGAACAUAGAAAACUGAACUGUUAUUACUCAAUAUUGCCCACCUGCGCAUUUUGUCUGGUUCGAAUCAUCGAUGUAGCAAAUAGAUGCACAGCUUCCACACUUGCUCUUGUGCCAUGAAAGCUCAAACCCAUAUGCCAGCUGACUGUGAAUUUCCUUAAAGGAUAUAUUCUUGUAAUCCUUGGCUGGCAACAACGUCAUCCUCUCUAAGCUGCACAGUUUCAUCAACUCCGAGGCCUUCAUGCCAGCAACAUUCACAUAAGAAUGCAUCAAGGGAGAAACAUUGGAAGAUUUUGCUCCAUGAAGGCAAGUACCAGUGUCUACGUACAGAGGAGAAUUCACUGGAUUUCCACAGCUAAUAAAAAUCAUCAUCUGCGAUAAAGGUAGAAGCUUGUAUCGAGGAAUCCGUUUCCGCUCUGUCAUUUUGUAUUGAAACCAUGUAUAUGGAUUCAUGAAAUCAUCUAGGCUUGCAUAUGUCAAAGUAAAAUUAGGAAGAGAAGAGCAAUCAUUUUUUAUAACCCCAGAAUCCACCACUCGAAUUGUCAAGUUGUUGUAGUUGAUUGCCUGCACGUAGUAUUUUCUCGACUUCAAAUACAAUACUGUGGAGAUAUUUUUCUCGCAGUGGAGGGUAUGGUGAGGUUUUCCACAGUAAGAUGGAUCACUUUCUAGGCUAAAAGGGUAGCUAAUAUUAUGAUUUCCACAUGAAGGGGCACAGAGAUUGGUAUCGUUGCAGUUGCUGGUUUGGAAGACUAGUAGUAGCAGUAGCAGGGCAAGGUAGCAAGCAAAGAGGAACCCAGACAUGGAUGGAGAAGGAGUAUGUAGUGCAUAAACAAUUCUUCUAGUCUUGAGAAGACAGCAGAUAAAGUCAGUGAAUCAUAGAAGUAGAAACAUAAAGGCGAGUUUUAAUAUCAGCAUAUUAAAAUUACAGCCAACUACCAAGUCAUCCAUUGAAAUGUUCAAAGUCACAAUAAUAAAGAAAAGAUUAAUGGUUGAUUGUAAAAUUGAACAAGAACAAAAAAUCCACCAAAGCUCAAAGCCACAAGCUUCUCAAAACCACAAGCGUCUCCAAACCAUGUCCAAUUAAUUAAGCUUCUACACUCUACAACAAGAGAACUUUCAGGUGACCAGACUGUCAUAAAACCAAGGUAUCAGAUUUACCCUAGCUGCUCCCAUCUGAGUUUACUACUGUUUCAGCAAUAUAUAAGUGUUAUUAGGCCAAUCUUGUAUCACCAUAGGAGGCAAUGAUGAAAGGUUCAUCAAAAAAGGCUAUAUGCCUGUUCUGUUUCAUGUUCAUUGCAGAACUAGGAGCAAGCCUUAAUUGCACAGGAUCUUGUGGGAACCGUGGCCUUCACAUCCGAUUUCCAUUCUGGAUCAAGGAUAGGCAGCCAGAACAGUGUGGCUAUCGUGGUUUUGAUCUGUCUUGCAAUGAGAUGGGCGAUAUAGUGCUCGAGCUGCAAGGUGCAGUGAAGCUCUACAUAGAUAAGAUUGACUACAAAAAUCAAGUUAUUUAUGCAAGUGAUCCCCAAGGUUGCCUUCGAAGCCCCACUCAAACUUCUAUUCGUCUGGGUUUCACAUACAGUUUAAGAUGUCGAAGGUCAAUUUUACCAUCUUCAAUUGUUCUUUAAAUAAUGCAAGACCCCUGAACUGGAUGGUCCCUUGUUUAAGUACUCUCCACUAUGAUGUUCUUGCCGUUAAAUCAGAACUAUCUAUUCAUGGCAAUGAGUUACUAUUAUCUUGUACCAAGAUGUACGACCUACCUGUUCCACAUGAUAUUCGUCUGUCCUGGUCCAAUCCCAAUUGUGGAUCUUGUGAAGCAAGAGGAAAACUAUGUGGAUUGAGGGAAAAUAGCAGCACUGAGCUUGAAACUGAAUGCUAUGGCUUGCCCAGACCAGAGAAAGGUAUCUUUAGCUUUAAGUCUUCUUUUCAUUGUUCUGUGUUCAUGGCAUCUUGAUUUUCUAUGAUUCCUUGCUUCACUAAGUCUACAUAUAUACUUUGAUUAAUGUAUUGCAAGUGUCCUUGAACACCUAAGUCCUAUCUACUAGUGAGUUGACUGACCAGUGGGUUACCUGUGCAUUUAGCGUUCUUGAUUCUACAAAUAGAGGAUAUUAUCAUGACUUUAGAAACUUUCAGAAAAUUAGAACUUAACAAGGGUUCUUAUCUUCUACAGGUGCACGGAAAAAGCGACUGACUUUAGGUUAGUUGCUCUCAAAUUUGCUCCAACACAUUGCUUCCAAAAAAGAAUAUGUCUCUUGACUCAAAAGGCUUAUUUAUAUAUGCAGGUGUAACCACAGGAUCCAUCCUUUUCGGGGUCCUGGCCAUUGCAGUCUACCAAAUCUAUAGCUUCAGAAAAUCAGAAGAGGAAUAUCAGGCAAAGGUUGAAAGGUUUUUGGAUGAUUACAGAGCUAUGAACCCCACAAGAUACUCCCAUGCUGAUCUCAAAAAGAUGACAAAUCAAUUCAGGGAUGAAUUGGGGCAAGGAGCUUAUGGAACUGUGUUCAAAGGAAUGCUAACCAGUGAGAUUCCGGUGGCUGUUAAGGUUCUAAGCAAUUCAUCAGAAAAAGGAGAGGAAUUCGUCAACGAGAUGGGAACAAUGGCUAGGAUUCACCAUGUCAAUGUAGUCCGCUUGAUUGGCUUCUGUGCUGAUGGAUUUAGACGAGCUCUGGUUUACGAGUACUUGCCAAACGAUUCGCUGCAGAGGUUCAUAUCUUCAGCAAACGCCAAGAAUGUUUUCCUUGGCUGGGAAAGGCUGCAUCAUAUUGCCCUCGGAGUAGCCAAAGGGAUUGAAUAUCUUCACCAGGGUUGUGACCAAACAAUCCUCCACUUUGAUAUCAAACCACAUAAUAUCCUGCUGGACAAUGACUUCAAUCCCAAGAUUGCAGAUUUCGGUCUGGCUAAGUUGUGUUCCAAGUAUAAAAGUGCUAUUUCCAUGACAAGAGUUAGGGGAACCGUCGGCUACAUAGCACCUGAAGUGUUCUCAAGAAACUUCGGGAAUGUCUCCUACAAGUCAGACGUGUACAGUUUCGGAAUGUUAGUGUUGGAAAUGGUUGGUGGAAGGAAAAAUGUUGACGAUACAGCAGAAAAUGGUGAACAAGUAUACUUCCCAGAAUGGAUUUAUAAUCUCUUAGAAGAAGGAGAAGACCUGCGGUUACACAUCGAGGAAGAAGGGGAUGCUGAAAUUGCGAAGAAGCUAGCCAUUGUGGGACUGUGGUGUAUCCAGUGGAACCCAGUGGACCGUCCUUCCAUGAAAACUGUUGUCCAGAUGCUGGAAGGGAGAGGAGACAGGUUAAGUACACCUCCUAAUCCUCUUAGCUCCACAGCUCCAAAGAGACCGAAUACAAGAACGCUAAGGCUGUGAUCUAUGAGCUGCUGCCUACAGUGGAUUCUGAGUAAUUCGCGGCUUUUUACACAAAUAAAAGAUUAGCUUGCAAGAUUAGUUUUUAAAUUGUAUUUCUCAAACUUUAUGAUGAUGCUACUUUAGAACUCUUAUGGUUCCACGCUUCCGAAAAAUUUUAAUUUUUUUUUUAAAUUAAUUUUUUUAAUAUUUUUAAAUCAUUUUGAUAUAUUGAUAUUAAAAAUAAUUUUUAAAAAAUUAAAAAAAUAUUAUUUUAAUAAAAAAAUAUUUUAAAAAACAACUUUUAACCCUCCAAAACAAGCCUCUAAGGUACUUCUUCCUUGGUAUCCAUUUUAUGCUACAAAACUAAUACUUUCUCGUCAAAUAGCUAAAACUCAACUAGCAUUAGUGCCCUUCCUCUUCUCAACCUCUCCUUGUAGUAAAAAAAAUUAAAGUGGACUCAAUUGUUAAACUUUCAUAUUUUAUGACAAGUUAAGAAUUGUUAAAAUCUCAUUCCAAAAUUAAGUUAUUGAUUGGGUCCUUAAUGUUUCAGAUAUUUCUCAAUCAUGUCCAUUACUUUUAUAUUUUUUCAUUUGACAGAAAGGAUUGAGUAGUCAAGAUAUAUUCAAAACGUUAGGGACUCAAUUGUAAUGCUAAACUUCUAUAUUUUGUGACAAAUUAAGAAUUUAGUAAUACUUUAGAGGUUAAUUUGAGUUUCCUCUCUAAUUAAACAACACCUAGCUUUUCAACGAACUUUAAUAACUUGUUGUCUUCUUCAAUGCAAACAGUCAUCCUACGUGUUAAUUUAGGUCAACUUAGAUUAAUAUGUUAAUUUUACAUCUUGAGUUAUGAGAUUAAAAUAAUUUCAUGUAAAACAAAUUAUAAAAUAUAGUUUUUAAUUCAUCUAAUAUUAAAGAAUAAAAUUAAAAAAAUAUUAAAAUAAAUUUAAAUCAACCCAAAUUAAUAUGUUAAAAUCUAUGAUAUAAAUUAUCAUACCAUGAUAAUCUCGUAAAUGUCAAGGAAAAUUUAGUAUCAUUCAUGGGACAAGCCUUCCCCUGCACAUGAGCAGAGUAUUCCAUAUUAGAUCACUUAAUUAUAUGCAUUUUCAAUCAAGCUGAUUGAUUCCGAAGAAUAAUCAGACAUGAAAGAUGACUCUCCACAAGUGUUCAUUGGCUUCACAUCUAGAUUUAGAACAGGUGUCGGAGGCAGUUGCAGGCUUUCCAUAUCUCCUUCAAGCAUCUCCACAACUUCGUUCAUUGCAGUGCGAUUCAGAGGGUUCAUUUGUAUACACCACAACCCUGCAAUAAUCAUCUUCUUGACUAUCUUUUCUUCCUUUUCCGUGCCACCAUCUCCAAUCUCUAUAACCUUCUCAUUAGAGACUUUGUCAUGAACCCAAUCUGGCCAGUAAAUUUGGCUGAACCUUUCAGCCAACGGAUUCAAAUUUUUUCUUCUGCCUGCCAUUUCCAACAGCAACAUUCCAAAGCUAUAAACAUCAGCUUUGUAUGAGACGCGGCCGAUGUUCUGGUAGAACAGUUCUGGCGCCAUGUAACCUAUCGUUCCCCCUGGUGCAGUGAGAGAUUUAAGACUCUCAUUUGUUGGGCACAACCUAGCAAGUCCAAAGUCAGAAACUUUUGGAGCGAAGUUUUCAUCGAGUAGAAUGUUGUGAGGCUUGAUGUCAAAAUGUAGGAUCUGCAUCUCACAACCUCGAUGUAGAUAUUGGAUGCCAUGAGCCACUCCAAGGGAAAUCUCAUGUAGUUUUUCCCAGCUUAAAGAGACAGAUCUUUCUUGAGAAAAAAUGAAAUUAUCAAGAGAUCCAUUGGGCAUGAAAUCAUAUACAAGAGCGCGCUUUGAUCCCUCAGCACAAAAACCAACUAGUUGCACUACAUUAGCGUGGCGAAUCCUUCCAAUGGUAGCGACUUCAUUGAUGAAAUCUUGUCCAUUAGCGUUGGAUUUGCCCAGCAAUUUUAUCGCUGCAAAAUGUCCACUGCGAAGCUUUCCUUUAUACACGCAACCAAAACCUCCUUCACCCAACUUUUCCUUGAAACCUCCGGUCAUCUUCUUAAUCUCUGAAUAAGAAUACCUUACUACUGGCAUAAGAUUGUUAGGAGUGUGUAGGAAUUCCUCAACUGUGUCAUAUGCUGAUAGAUGUCUUCGUCGCCAUUUAUAGAUCAAGAAUGCAAUCACAAACGGACUCCCAAAGAUAAAUUUUGGCCCCUGAAGUAGUGCUGUGUGUGAAAUUUGAGGGGGGAAAUCAAGAUAGAAAUCAUGAUUAUUUCUUAUUAAUUAUCAGAUAAAUACACAACAUGGGUUGGGUUUGGUGUUAGAAUUUUUUCGCCUAGUUGAAAAAUCAUAUAAAUCUAGACCAUCAUGAUUUGUAGAAAAGGUUCAAUCAAGUUUCAUAAGAACAUACUGAGUAACCUAAAGGUCUGUCUCAGGCAUUAGGCCUCCUAAUAACCAAUAUCAUUUUCUAUCUGCUAAUAAAACACGAUCAAAUAUCAUAAACUAAAAAAAAUAUAAAUAAUCAAUAAGGGAAGUUCUUACCAAUUAAUAGGGAUAUAUACAGCAGGACGACUGCAGAGAAGGUAAACAAAGUUAGAGAUAUUUUAAAAAGAACUGUUUGGAAUUAUGGAAUCAAGCAUGAAAAAAUUGAGAUAGAAUCCUCACCUUCGGCUAUCACAAACCAAGAAAUUCCUGUUGGACCAAGUGAUCAGUUACAAAAAUUAGUUGUGAUUUGAGCAAAUAUUACAAGAUGAAGAGAAUUAAGAAGCAGCAGACGUAUGAGAUAGAAAAAUUAGAUUGGAAGCAAUCAUCUAUUAUCUAUAUGAUAUCACCAACUGCAGCCUAUGAUAGCUAGAUUGAAUUGACUGUGAGUUCCUCAAUACUACAAUAGGCUACUGAAAAGCACAGAUGCCAGAAAUAGGGGAUUCAUGCCAAAAGAAUUUGAACAUAGAAAAAUGAACUGUUAUUACUCAAUAUUGCCCACCUGCGCAUUUUGUCUGGUUAGAAUCAUCGAUGUAGCAAAUAGUUGCACAGCUUCCACACUUGCUCUUGUGCCAUGAAAGCUCAAACCCAUAUGCCAGCUGACUGUGGAUUUCCUUAUAGGACAUGCUCUUGUAAUCCUUGGCUGGCAACAACGUCAUCCUCUCUAAGCUGCACAGUUCCAUCAGAUCCGAAGCCUUCAUCCCACCAACGUUCACAUAAGAACGCAUCAAGAGUGAAACAUUGGAAGAUUUUUCUCCAUUAAGGCAAGUACCGGUUUCUACGUACAGAGGAGAAUUCACUGGAUUUGCACAGUUUAUGAAAAUCAUCAUCUGCGAUAACGGGAGAGGCUUGUAUUUGGGAAACCAUUUCCGCCCUGUCCUUUCGUAUUGAAACCAUGUAUAUGGAAAUCUGAUAUAAUCGAAUCUUGUAUUUGUUGAAGUAAAAAUAGUAUAUUCCCUUCGGGAAUUACCUAAUCUUGCAUAUGUUAAAGAAAAAUCAGGAAGAGAAGAGCAAUCAUUUUCUUUAACACCAGGAUCCACUGUUGGGUAUACGACCAAAGUCCCACAUUGGCUAGAAAUGGGGAGGAUCAUGGGUAUAUAAGGAUGGACAAAUAUCUCCAUUGGUUUGAGGCCUUUUGGGUAUAGCCCAAGAGCAAAUCCAUGAGGGCUUAGGCCCAAAGUGGACAAUAUCAUACCAAUGUGGAGAUAGGUGGUGUCCAUAGUCCUUACAAGUGGUAUCAGAGCCAGGCCCCGGAGUUAGCCAUGAUGGAUGAAACCUUGGAAUGCCGAACAAAAGGUGGUGGGCCCCCAAUCACGAUGUAAUCCAUGGAUCAGCUCUAUUGGAUAGGCGGUGUGCUCCAGAUGCUUCAUGGACGUGUCCUGAUCCCAACACGGUGAAGAGGAGUUGACCUAGAAAGAGCAAAAACUCUCAAGUCAGGUAGUGCUCUCCGGAUGCUUCAUGGACGUGUUCUGACCCCAACACGGUGAAGUAGAGAAUGAAGAAUCCUGGUUGGUAGAGAGUGGACGGAUGAAUGAUCGGUUUGAGGGGAGGCUCGGUGGUCCUUUGUUCGAGGGGAGGAUUGUUGGGUAUACGACCAAAGUCCCACAUUGGCUAGAAAUGGGGAGGAUCAUGGGUAUAUAAGGAUGGACAAAUAUCUCCAUUGGUUUGAGGCCUUUUGGGUAUAGCCCAAGAGCAAAUCCAUGAGGGCUUAGGCCCAAAGUGGACAAUAUCAUACCAAUGUGGAGAUAGGUGGUGUCCAUAGUCCUUACAUCCACCACUCGGAUUGUCAAGUUGUUGUAGUUGAUUGCCUGCACGUAGUAUUUUCGUGAGUCUAAAUACAAAACUGUGGAGGUAUUUUUCUCGCAAUGGAGGGUAUAGAGAGGGUUUCCACAGUUGGAUGGAUCACUUUCUAGGCUAAAGGGGUAGUUAAUAGUAUGAUUGCCACAUGAAGAAGGGGCACAGAGAUUGGUAUCCUUGCAGUUGCUGGUUUGGAAGACUAGUAGUAGCAGUAGUAAGGCAAGGCAGCAAGCAAAGAGGAACCUAGACAUGGAUGGAGAAGGAGUAUGUAGUGCAUAAACAAUUCUUCUAGUCUUGAGAAGACAACAGAUAAAGUCAGUGAAACAUAGAAGUAGAAACAUAAAGGCGAGUUUUAAUAUCAGCAUAUUAAAAUUACAACCAACUACCAAGUCAUCCUUUGAAAUGAUCAAAGGUCACAAUAAUAAAGAAAAGAUUAAUGGUUGAUUGUAAAAUUGAACAAGAACAAAAAAUCCACCAACGCUCAAAGCCACAAGCUUCUCAAAACCACAAGCUUCUCAAAACCACAAGCGUCUCAAAACCAAGUCCAAUUAAUUAAGCUUCUACACUCUACAACAAGAGAACUUUCAGGUGACCAGACUCAUAAAACGAAGGUAUCAGAUUUACCCUUGCUGCUCCCAUCUGAGUUUACUACUGUUUCAGCAAUAUAUAAGUGUUAUUAGGCCAAUUUUGUGUCACCAUUGUGAUGUUUUGAAAUAAAAGAUAGGAAAAGGCAAUAAAGCCUUGGAGGCUUAAAAGUGGUAUAAAUAAAUAAGGGGUAUUGUGAUAAUUGAAUAAAGGUUGAUAGAUAUAAAUAGAAAGGAAAAAAUUAAAAUAAAAUAGGAAGCUGUGUUCUUGAGUGCCGGCAGGAUCGAGAAGGGAGAAAGAAGAAGAAGAAGAGAAAAGAGAAAAAGGUAAGGGAAAUAGAAGAGAUUAAUUUGGAGAAAAUAAAUUUAAAGGUAAGAUUUAGGUUGUUAAAUGUAUUAAUGUGUGUUAUUUGAGCUUUUAAUUUCUGUUUUGAUAAAUGUUAGGGUUUUGAAGAUUGUGUUUUGGGUUUGAUUUAUGAAUUAAUUUGAAUGUUAUAGGGUUGAUUGUUGUGUGUAAUUGAUUGUUUAGUUGAUUAUGAAAAAUUGCAGGUAAAAAUAAUGAUUUUGAGUUAUAUUUUGUGUAAAUAGUGAAUUUUGAGUUAGAAAUCUGGAAAGAACAAUAGGUAAUCUGUGAAAAUUCUGGAUUUGAGGUUGAAGAUGAUGAAAAUUCAGUUUGGUCCCUCAAUUUGUGAAAAUUACAGUUUAGUCCCCAAACUUUGAAAAAUUACAGAUUGGUCCCUGGAGCAUAUUCCGAGAUUCUGAACAGAAUACAAGAUGAAUUAUGGGCAGAAUUCCAGUAUAGUUAUGAAAUUUUAACACUUUCAGUUUGGUCCUCCAAUUUGACAAAAAUUACAAUUUGACCCAAAAAAUUUGGAAAAUUUUCAGAAUGGUCCCUGGAGCAUGAUGAGAUAUUCUGGACUGAAUUGAGGAUUAAUUAUGGUCAGAAUUUAAGUAUAGUCAUGGAUUUAUGAUAUUUUUAGUUUGGUCCUUCAAUUUGACAAAACUUACAAUUUGACCCUUAAAAAUAUGAUAAAAUUCAGAUUGGUCCUUAGCUGUAAUAUUAGCUUUUGCAGAUUGGUUUGAUGAAUAAUUUAGGGUUAUUUAGUGAAUUAUUAUAAAUUUUAUUAAUUGUUUUAUUAUGGAUUAGAUUUCGGGAAAUCCGUUAAAUUUUGAGUUUUUGGGAAAAUAAGUAGUUUAGUCUAAAAACAUAUAGGGUUAUGGAAUAUACCCUUAGAUAAAAGUAUUAAAUAGGUUAUAUGUUCUUUUGAGUUAUUCUUGAAUAUGUCUCAUUUGUAUUAAGAUAAUCCUGAUAUUCUACUGGAGGGACGUUAGUAGGAUUUUCUUCGGUAUCAGCUUUGAGUUCUGUUUGCUUUCGAGUCAGGUGAGUGGAUAAUUUUCCAUAUGCAUGAGAAAUAUUAUAAAUAUUUGAUUUGUUAAUAUGAAUUGGAUCAUGCUUCUUGAUAAUAUAUAUGUUGAUUAUUAUCCUUGUUAUGAUAAGCAUGAUCAAUUGUUGAAUCUGAAUUCUUGAUAUGAACCAAUAUAUAUUUUGAAUUGACUUCUGAAUUGAUAGCUCUUCAUUUGAUUGAUGUCAUGAGUUGAGCCUUGAGAUAUGAAUAUGUCUGUUUGAUUAUGAUUAUGAUUAUGAACCUAUGGUAUGACAGUCAGAAUACCCAAGCUAACAGGGUAGUGUUAGUCUUUGUGCACAUCGUAUCUGAACCCUAGUUGGUCGGGGGAGUCACCAACCUGUAUGGAUUGAUCAUCCAAUAGUACGGAGCCUCAUGCUCAUUGCAUUUUGAUUUUUUGACAAGCUUUACCUUAAGAUAUUCUUGUUAUGGCCUAUUUGAGAAACCUUCCUAUAAGAACCUAAAACCAUACUUGUAUAUAUAUUUCUCAUUGUUGUAUUACCUCGUGUGUGUGUAUUGAACGUUAUCUACUCACUGAGUUGUUGAACUCACCCUCUCAUUAGUAAUUUCAGAAUAUGCUUCAGGGACCAAUCUGUAAUUUUCCAAAGUUUAGGGACUAAAUUGUAAUUUUCACAAAUUGAGGGACCAAACUGAAUUUUCAUCAUCUUCAACCUCAAAUCCAGAAUUUUCACAGAUUACCUACUGUUCUUUCCAGAUUUCUAACUCAAAAUUCACGAUUUACACAAAUUAUAACUCAAAAUCAUUAUCUUUACCUGCAAUUUUUCAUAAUCAACUAAACAAUCAAUUACACACAAUAAUCAACCCUAUAACAUUCAAAUUAACUCAUCAAUUAAAUCCAAAAUACAAUCUUCAAAACCCUAACAUUUAUCAAAACAAAAAUUUAAAGCUUAAAAAACACACAUUUAGAUAUAAUCUUACCUUUAAACUUAUUUUCUCCAACUUCUUUCUAUUUCCGUUCUAAUUUCUCUCUUUUAUCUUCUUCUUCUUCUUCUUCUUUUCUUCUCUUCUCCCGGUUUUUCACUCUUAAUUGCAUAUCUCUCUUUUUUGUUUUUCAAUUUACAUUUAUCAACUCUUUAUAUAAUUACUACAAUACCCUUCUUUUAUUUAUUCUUAUAUCUAAGCCUUCAAGGGCUUGUAGCCCUUUCCUAUCUCUUUUAAUUCAAAACAUUACAAGUAUACUUCCCAGAAUGGAUUUAUAAUCUCUUAGAAGAAGGAGAAGACCUGCGGUUCCACAUCGAGGAAGAAGGGGAUGCUGAAAUUGCGAAGAAGCUAGCCAUUGUGGGACUGUGGUGUAUCCAGUGGAACCCAGUGGACCGUCCUUCCAUGAAAAUCGUUGUCCAGAUGCUGGAAGGGAAAGGAGACAGGUUAGGUACACCUCCUAAUCCUCUUAGCUCCACAGCUCCAAAGAGAACGAACACAAGUAUGCUAAGGCUGUGAACUAUGAGCUGCUGCCUACAGUGGAUUCUGAGUAAUUCGCGGCUUAUGACACAAACAAAAGAUUAGCAUGCAUUUGAUUGAAAAUAAGGGGAUGAAACUGUAUUUGCUUGCAAGAUUAGUUCUUAAAUUGUAUUUCUCAAACUUUAUGAUGAUGCUAUUUUAGGACUCUUAGUUGGUGUCUGGGGUUGUGUUGCCACGUUUCUGGAAAAUUUUAAGUUUUUUUGUUUUAAAUUAAUUAUUUUUUUAUAUUUUUAGAUCAUUUUAAUAUGUUAAUAUUAAAAAUAAUUUUUUAAAAAUAAAAAAAUAUUAUUUUAAUGUAUUUUCUAAUAAAAAAAUAUUUUAAAAAACAAUUUUUAACACUCCAAAACAGGCCUUCAAGGUAUUAAAGUUUGAGGUACUUCUUCCUUGGUAUUCAUUACUAUUAUUUUUCCAGUUGAUGUGCGUAUUUUAUGCUACAAAACUAAUACUUUAUCGUCAAAUAGCUAAAACUCGACUAGCAUUAGUGCCCUUCCUUUUCUCAAGAGGUCUUUAAUUAAUAAAAAAAAAUUAAAGAAGAAUUGAUAGGAAAUACUAACAAACUUGGAGAUAGAAAGGAUUCAAUCACGAUAUAUUUGAAAUUAUAGGGACUCAAUUGUUAAACUUUCAUAUUUUAUGACAACUUAAGAAUUGUUAAAAUCUCAUUCCAAAAUCAAGUUAUUGAUUGGGUCCUUAAUGUUUCGGAUAUUUCUCAAUCGGCUUCUUCUUUUCAUGUCCAUUACUUUUAUAUUUUUUCCUUUGACAGAAAGGAUUGAGUAGUCAAGAUAUAUUUAAAAUGUUAGGGACUCAAUUGCUAUGCUAAACUUCUAUAUUUGUGACAAAUUAAGAAUUUAGUAAUACUUUAGAGGUUAAUUUGAGUUUUCUCUGUAAUUAAACAGCACCUAGCUUUUGAACGAACUUGAAUAGCUUGUUGUCUUCUCCAAUGCAAACAAUCAUCCAUGUGGUAAACUGCGUGUUAUUUGGGUCUGUAGAUUCUCUUUUUAGAUAUUAUUAGUUUAAUUUUUUUUUACAUAAAAAAUAUUCAAUUGUUGCAUCGUGAUUCAGGUUGUAAGAUAUGAUAAUCUAAUAGGAAGCUGAAAAGAAUCACGAAGUCUAAUACCUAAUCAAUAUAAUAUUAAAAGAUAAAAUUAAAAAAUAUACAAAUUUUAAAAAAACAAAAAAAACACAAAUUAACCAACUAAACUCGCAACACAUAUCAUAAGACCAGGAUAAUAAACAUAAACAAACCACUAUUGAUUUUGUUUUUGUUAAUGUGACCAAUCCCCAAAGUGAAAAACAUGAAAAAUAUCCCCCUCCCUCUCAAGCCAUGGUUUCAGUCACUAAGAACCACCACCCCUCAUAUAAGCCACCCAAGAACCACCACUUGAGCCUUGUCUUGCAUCAUCCUAUACUCAACCAGAAAAGAAAACUGAUUAGCUUAGACUUUGAAAGGGAAAUAAAAUUAGGUUAACAAAGCAGAGUAAAAACAAAGUGCACUAAAGUGAGGCUGCCAUUGUAAAACUGAACAACAAAUAUGUAGAUCCAGUACAUUGAUCACCAUUAAUCAUAAGAACAUAUGUUGCUCAGCUGCAACAUUUCUGUUUGUUAAGUUUUUUCAGCAAGGAAACCAACAACAUCCGGCAUAACAUGGCAAGAAAAACUUUUCCUAGAAGCAAACAGCAAGAAAAAUAACAUUAGCAGUAUGAAAUAUUCCAAGGAUGGCAGAGAACUCAAUCUUCAUAAAAAUUGCAAAAGCAUUUCGAUUGAAGGCUAAAAUUUUCUAUUUUCCCGAAAAGAGCUUUCAAACUAAAUCGAGAUUUUGAAAGGGUCAAUCUUUGGAGCAACGAUCACCACAACAACACCAUUCUAAAAAGUCAUCAUUUUCGCGAAGCGAAAUCCAACGGUUUUUUUACUGCUUGAAAAAAGAAAAAAGGUUUUCUAGCAGCAGCAUAAGAAUUAAAAGAAAAAACCCAACCUAUUAGUGAUGAAACCAAAUACUUGACCCAUCUUCCUCUUCAUCUUCAGUUCUGCAAGCAGCAAAGAGCAGAUUUAAAACCAAAAUCUUGUAACCCAGAAAACGGGAUUCCCACGUCUUGUUAUUUUUCAUCUAACAAAAAAACUGAAGAAACAGGAGUUCUUCUUAAGAAAUAUUCCGUGUAAGAUGGAAAAUUAAAGCUUCCAUGAUAAAUUGGUGGCUCCUCCUCGCUUCAAACUCCAAGAACCUCAGCUUACACUUGUCAUUGGUGACCAUUCCAGACGAUGAAUUCGCCUAUGACAUAGAUUAAAAAAAAAUUGAAGCUAUAAUUCAAGACAGCUUAUAAUUAAUCGUCACUGAUGAAUGAUCAAGAAGAAAGGAAAAACUUGUAAUCAUUAAUUUCAACACUUGAUGAAUCUUGAAUUUGAUUAAGCGAUAAAAAGCUUUUAGUGAAACCCUAAAAUCAACAUCAAACCAAAAAAAAAUCAAAUAUAAUCAAGAUGGAAGUAUAAAAAAAUCACCUGGCCAUUGAUCAUGUUCUCGGACCUCUUCAACUGAACCAACCUCUCCCCAAACUAAAUACCCAAUCUCCACAAUCUAUUCCCAUAAGCCUGGAUGUGAUUGGCAGUCGCCUUGUAACCUUCAAUUUCCACAAUCAAUGAUGUCUCCUUUGUUUCUGCCUGUUUCAUACCUCCUCUCCUCUUUCUCACAUCGAUUUGUUUUAGAAGAGAAGGAGAAGAACUGGCGAUCGCCAAUAGCACCAUCUUCACCCUCCUUUUCUUCUACCUUCCCUGUGAUUCUUCUCUUGCUUCUUCGUCUGGAGAGAGAGAGAGAGAGUGUGUGUGUAUAUAAAUAAAUUAUAUAGUUUAUUUAUUUAUUAGUGUUUAUAAUUUUUAGUUUAUUUGAUUAUAUGUGUAUAAAUUUUUUAAUAUAUAUAUAAUCUUUUAUAAAAAAAAAUCAAAAUAUUUAACCGGUUCUCUAACCUAGGUGGUGUACAUUAGACUGUACCGAAGUGUUUGGGCUUUAAUUUCCUGGGAGCCCAAUUGCAUCUAACCUUGAAAUCGAUUACAACUUUUUUUUCUUUUUAAUAUAUAUAAAAUAAAUUUUAAAAAAAUAAAAUAUAGAUAAAUAAGAAAUUAAAAAAAAACUCUUGGUUAACCUGUUUUAUAAAUAUAAGGAUCCUUCCCUUUAUAUAAAAGAAAAUACAAAAGUUUUUUGUAGAUUAUAUAAUAAAAAGUUUAAGAGUUAAAAUUAUAUUUAUAGGCUAUAAAACAUUUUCAUAUAGAUGAGAGGUUUUAGGCUAAAUGAUCUUUGUAUUUAAAUUACACGGGCUUAUUUAGCUUGGGCUUAAGAUAAGGUGCUGUAAAGUAAUUUUUUAAGCCCAUAAAAAUAAUUUUUUAAGGUAGCAUAUGAACAAUUAUCUUUUUUUAUUUAAAGAGUUUUAUUUUUUAUGUUAAAAAACUAAUACAUUAUUUUUUAUGAUGGAUAAUUAAAAAUUGAUAAAUAGUAAAGAUUAAUCCUGGUAAUUCUAUAAAAAUUAUUUUUAAGAUAGCAUGGGAGCAAUUUAUCUGAACAAUUAUCUUUCUAUGUCUAGAAAGUUUAAUUUUUAUAUCUAGAAAGUUUUAUUUUUAAUGGAAAAAAAAUUAUUAGAUUAUUUUUUUAUGAUUGAUAAUUAAAGUUUAUAAACGAUAAGAAUUAAUUAAUUUUGCACCACUUUUAAUUCUAAAUUCUAGCAUAAAUAAGGAAUGAAAAUGGAGUGUUUUCCAUAACUUUAAAUGGUAGGUUUUUUUUUAUUGUACAAUAUUUUUCUUUCUUUUUCUAUUAUAUUUACACUGGUUUUGAUUUAAUACUUUGUAUUUUAAGUAUAUUACAUUAUUUUGUAUACGCUAGUUCAUAGUAAGAACACUUGUAAUACACAAUAUUUCCUGAUUUGUUUUUAAUUUAAGUUUUAAUAUAUAUAGUAGAAGCCAAUGAUGCAAUGAAAAUGAGGCAAAAAAGUAAAACUAAGUGGAUUUCGAGUGCCAUGACUGAAAAAGAAACUCAAAGUUCGUGAAUUUAUGUCUCUUCUUUCAAAAAGGAUGUGUAACGACAUCUCUAGAAUCAGAUGCAGAUUUGAUGUAAAAAUUUCAUCUAAUAAGAACACAAAUUAGUUCAAACCUAACAAGCCAACUAGGACUCUCUUAGCUAGUUACACAACCAGGAAAUAAGGUGGAUGGUUACAGACUUACAGUUUAUCAUAAUGGUAUUAACUUUCAAAGAACUAGUAUCAUUCAUGGGACAAGCCUUCCCCUGCACAUGAGCAGAGUAUUCCAUACAAGAUCACUUAAUUAGAUGCAUUUUCAAUCAAGCUGACUGAUUUCGAAGAAUAAUCAGACAUGGAAGAUGACUCUCCACAAGUGUUCAUUGGCUUCUCAUCUGGAUAUAGAACAGGUCUCGAAGGCAGUUGCAGGCUUUCAAUGUCUCCUUCAAGCAUCUCCACAACUUCGUUCAUUGCGGGCCGAUUCAGAGGGUUCAUUUGUAUACACCACAACCCUGUAAUAAUCAUCUUCUUGACUAUCUUUUCUUCCUCUUCCGUGCCACCAUCUCCAAUCUCUAUAGCCUUCUCAUUAGAGACUUGGUCAUGAACCCAAUCUGGCCAGUAAAUUUGGUUUGAAUUCUCUGUCAAUGCGUUCAGAUUCUUCCUUCUGCCUGCCAUUUCCAAUAGCAACAUUCCAAAGCUAUAAACAUCAGCUUUGUAUGAGACGCGCCCGAUAUUCUUGUAGAACAGUUCUGGCGCCAUGUAACCUAUUGUUCCCCCUGCUGCAGUGAGAGAUUUCUCGGUCUCAUUUGCUGGGCACAACCUAGCAAGCCCAAAGUCAGAAACUUUUGGAGCGAAGUUUUCAUCCAGAAGAAUGUUGUGAGGCUUGAUGUCAAAAUGUAGGAUCUGCAUCUCACAACCUCGAUGUAGAUAUUCGAUGCCAUGAGCCACUCCAAGGGAAAUCUCAUGCAGUUUUUCCCAGCUUAAAGAGACAGAACUUUCUUGAGAAAAAAUGAAAUUAUUGAGAGAUCCAUUGGGCAUGAAAUCGUAUACAAGAGCGCGCUUUGAUCCCUCAGCACAAAAACCAACUAGUUGCACUACAUUGGUGUGGCGAAUCCUUCCAAUGGUAGCGACUUCAUUGAUGAAAUCUUGUCCAUUAGCCUUGGAUUUGCCCAGCAAUUUUAUCGCUGCAGAAUGUCCACUGCGAAGCUUUCCUUUAUACACGCAACCGAAACCCCCUUCUCCCAACUUCUCCUUGAAACCUCCAGUCAUCUUCUUAAUCUCCGAAUAAGAAUACCUUAGGACUGGCAUAAGAUUGUUAUGAGUCUGUAGGAAUUCCUCAACUGUGUCAUAUGCUGAUAGAUGUCUUCGUCGCCAUUUAUAGAUCAAGAAUGCAAUCACAAAUGGACUCCCAAAGAUAAAUUUUGUCCCCUGAAGUAGUGCUGUGUGUGAAAUUUGAGAGGAAAAAAAAAUGAAGAGAGGAAUUGUUAUUCUUUCUUAUUAAUAUAUAUCAGAGAUUGAUAAAUACUCAGCAUGGGUUAGGUUAGGCGUUAGGAUUAUUUUUCCGAGUUGAAAAAUCAUAUAAAAUGUAGACCAAAAUGAGAGGACUCAGGUUCAAUCAAGUUUCAUAAGAACAUACUCUUAACCAAAAGGUAUGUCUCAGACAUUAGGCAACCCCAAGAGUGCUGCUAAGGAAGAACUUGGCAUGAGUAGACAUUUAGGAAUUAUCAUUCGUAUAUGCUAAUAAAAUAUGAUGCAGUAUCACAACUUCAAAAAAAAAAAAUAAUAAUAAGGGGAGUUAUUACCAAUGAACAGGAAUACAGUCUGCAGCACGCCUGCAGAGAAGGUAAACAAAUUUAGAGAUAUUAUAGUAAGGACUAGUUGGAAUUACGGAAUCAAGCAUGAAGAAGUGGGGAGAUAGACUCCUCACCUGCGAUUAAUUCGAACCAAGAAAGUCCUGUUGGGCCAAGAGAUCAGUUACAAAGAUUAGAUUUGUGAUUUGAGAAAAUAUAUAACGGAGGUCAUUACAAGAUGAAAGAAAUUGAGAAGAAACAAAUGAAUGACUUGGCAAAAUUAUCCUGGUUUAACUUUUUGAAUUCAAAUCUUGUGGUUAAUGUCCAGAAGAUUUUAUUAAAUUUUUCUGAAUGUAUUAAAGAAGCGAAACUUAGUUUUGUUUGACUAAGUUUUCUGAAAAUCGGUAUAAAAAUAUCAUUAAUCGUCGAAUAAAAGAAAACCACGAAUUAUUAUGACAAGUGAUAUGACCAUCUGCAGCCUAUGAUAGCUUGAUUGAACUGACCGUACGAUACUCAGCACUACAAUAUGCUUCAGAAAUGGGGAAAUCAUGCGAAGAGAAGUUGAAGAUAGAAAAACGAACAGUUUGUUACUCAAUAUUGCCCACCUGCGCAGCGUGUCUUGUUCGAAUCAUAGAUGUAGCAAAUACCUGCACAGCUUCCACACCUGCUAUUGUGCCAUGAAAGCUCAAACCCAUAUGCGAGCUGACUGUGAAUUUCCUUAUAGGACAUGCUCUUGUAAUCCUUGACUGGCAACAACGUCAUCCUCUCUAAGCUGCACAGUUCCAUCAGAUCCGAAGCCUUCAUCCCACCAACAUUCACAUAAGAUUUUUCUCCAUUAAGGCAAGUACCAGUGCCAACGUACAGAGGAGAAUCCACUGGAUUUGCGCAGUUUAUGAAAAUCAUCAUCUGCGAUAAAGGGAGAGGCUUGUAUGUGGGAGACCACUCCCACCCUGUCUUUUUGAAUUGAAACCAUGUAUAUGGAUAAUCAUCAUCUGCGAUAUAAUCGAAGCCUGUAAAUGUUAAAGUAAAAAUAGUAUAUGCCCUUCUGGAUUUGCCUAGGCUAUCAAAUGCUAAAGAAAAAUUAGGAAGCGAAGAGCAAUCAUUUUCUUUAACACCAGCAUCAACCACUCGGAUUGUCAAGUUGUUGUAGUUGAUUGCCUGCACGUAGUAUUUUCGUGAGUCUAAAUACAAUACUGUGGAGUUAUUUUUCUCGCAGUGGAGGGUAUAGUUAAAGGGGUAGCUAAUAUUAUGAUUUCCACAGUUAGAUGGAUCACUUUCUAGGCUAAAGGGGUAGCUAAUAGUAUGAUUUCCACAUGAAGGGGCACAGAGAUUGGUAUCCUUGCAGUUGCUGGUUUGGAAGACUAGCAGCAGGGGGAGUAAGGCUAUGUAGCCAGCAAAGAGAAACCUAGACAUGGAUGGAGAAAGAGUAUGGAGUCCAUAAACAAUCCAUCAUGUCUUUAAAGACAACAGUUAUAGCAGUAAUGUUAGAAUAAUAUAAAUUAUAUUUUUAGAAAUAAUUUAAUAAUUUAAAUUUUUAAGUAGAGUUAGUAUUAUGAUAUGAUAUUAAAGUCUUGGUAAUUAAAAGAUUAUGAAUUCUAAUCAGAUUAUUUUUAUUUAUUUAAUAAAAAUUAAGCAUAAGAUAAUAUGAGUUUGUAUAAGUUUUUAAAGCAAAAAAACUUUUACUUUAACAAAUAUAUUAAAAAAUAAUAUAAAUUAUAUAUUGAAAAUUCUUUUAAAUAAAAUUGGUUCUUUUACAGAGAGAGAAAGAGAGAGAAAUAUAGAUGAAGUUAAAACCUAAAGGCCGAAUAUUUCAAUGUGAGAGUUAUUAGAAUGACCAAGUCAUCCUUUGAAAUAUCAAAGUCAUAGUAAAGCAAAGAUUUAUAUUAAAAAUUCUUUUAAAUGAAAUUGAUUCUUUUAUCAGAAAAGAAGAAACAUAGAAGAAGUUAAAACCUAAAUGCCAGUUUUUCAAUGUAAGAGUUCCAUCAGCGUAUUAAAAUAACCAAAGUCAUCCUUUGAAAUGUAAGAGUCACAGUAACGAAGCAAAGAUUACUUCGAUAUAAACCACAAAUCCAUCAACUCUCAGCACCACAAGCGUCAACAUAUAGAGCACCUUCUUGGCAAUAAUUUGUGAAAAAAGCCAAAGAUCAACACAAGUGUUCCAGGUAAGUCCAAGCUCUGCUUCCCUCCUCUUUCCCUUCGAAAGUGGAAAGAAAGUGAGGGUGCAAUAAUCCUUGCUGACACGGAACUACUACUACAUUGAACGCAAGAGAGGUCAAUUCUGAGUACUUAAUCUAGGCAAGUAAAAAGAAGGUAUCAGAGUUACCCUUGCUGCUCCCAUCUGAGUUUACUAUUGUUUCAGCAAUAUCUAGAUACUGUUAGGUCGAAACUCUAUCACCAUAGGAGGCAAUGAUGAGAGGUUCAACAAAAAAGGCAAUAUGCCUGUUCUAUUUCAUGUUCAUUGCAGAACUUGGAGCAAGCCUUAAUUGCACAGGAUCUUGUGGGAACCGUGGCCUUCACAUCCGAUUUCCAUUCUGGAUCAAGGAUAGGCAGCCAGAACAGUGUGGCUAUCCUGGUUUUGAUCUGUCUUGCAAUGAGAAGGGCGAUAUAGUGCUCGAGCUGCCAGCUGCAGUGAAGCUCCACAUAGAAAAGAUUGACUACGAAAAUCAAGUUAUUUAUGCAACAGAUCCCCAAGGUUGCCUUCGAAGCCAACACCCAAACUUCAAUUCGUCCGGGUUUCACAUACAGUUUAAGAUGUCCAAGGUCAAUUUUACCAUCUUCAAUUGCUCUUUAAAUAAUGCAAUAUCUCGGCGUAGGAUCGCUUGUCUCAGCACUCACCAAUAUGAUGUUCUUGCCGUUGAUUCGGAACAAUCUAUUGAUGGCAAUGAGUUACUAUUAUCUUGUACCAAGAUGUACGACCUACCUGUUCCACAUGAUAUUCGGCUGUCCUGGUCCAAUCCCAAUUGUGGAUCUUGUGAAGCAACAGGAAAACUAUGUGGAUUGAGGGAAAAUAGCAGCACUGAGCUUGAAACAGAAUGCUAUGGCUUGCCCAGACCAAAAAAAGGUAUUUUUAGAUUCAAGUCUUCUUUUUCACUGUUCUGUGUUUAUGGCUCCUUGAUUUUCUAGGAUUUUUUGCUUUAUUAAGUUCUUGUUUCUAUAAAUCCAUGACAUUAUAGUGACUUCAGAAACUUCCUGAAAAUGAGAACCUAACAAGUAACAAGGGUUCUUAUCUUCUGCAGGUGCACGGAAAAGGAAUCUGACUAUAGGUUAGUUGUUCUCAAAUUUACUCCAACUCUAUGCUUCCAAAAAAGAAGAUCAGUUACUUAACUCAAAAGGCUUAUUUAUAAAUGCAGGUGUAACCACAGGAUCCAUCCUUUUCGGGGUUGUGGUCAUUGCAGUCUACCAAAUUUAUAGCUUCAGAAAAUCAGAAGAAGAAUAUCAGGCAAAGGUUGAAAGGUUUUUGGAUGAUUACAGAGCUAUGAACCCCACAAGAUACUCCCAUGCUGAUCUCAAAAAGAUGACAAAUCAAUUCAGGGAUGAAUUAGGGCAAGGAGCUUAUGGAACUGUGUUCAAAGGAAAGCUAACCAGUGAGAUUCCGGUGGCUGUUAAGGUUCUAAGCAAUUCAUCAGAAAAAGGAGAGGAAUUCGUAAACGAAAUGGGAACAAUGGCCAGGAUUCACCAUGUCAAUGUAGUCCGCUUGAUUGGCUUCUGUGCUGAUGGAUUUAGACGAGCUCUAGUUUACGAGUACUUGCCAAACGAUUCGCUGCAGAAGUUCAUAUCUUCAGCAAACGCAAGGAAUGUUUUCCUUGGCUGGGAAAGGCUGCAUCAUAUUGCCCUUGGAGUAGCCAAAGGGAUUGAAUAUCUUCACCAGGGUUGUGACCAAACAAUCCUCCACUUUGAUAUCAAACCACAUAAUAUCCUGCUGGACAAUGACUUCAAUCCCAAGAUUGCAGAUUUCGGUCUGGCUAAGUUGUGUUCCAAGUAUAAAAGUGCUAUUUCCAUGACAACAGCUAGGGGAACCGUCGGCUACAUAGCACCCGAAGUGUUCUCAAGAAACUUUGGGAAUGUCUCCUACAAGUCAGACGUGUACAGUUUCGGAAUGAUGGUGUUAGAAAUGGUUGGUGGAAGGAAAAAUGUUGAUGAUACAGCAGAAAAUGGUGAUCAAGUAUACUUCCCAGAAUGGAUUUAUAAUCUCUUAGAAGAAGGAGAAGACCUGCGGUUCCAAAUCGAGGAAGAAGGGGAUGCUGAAAUUGCGAAGAAGCUAGCCAUUGUGGGACUGUGGUGCAUCCAGUGGAACCCAGUGGACCGUCCUUCCAUGAAAAUUGUUGUCCAGAUGCUGGAAGGUGAAGGAGACAGGUUAAGUACACCUCCUAAUCCUCUUAGCUCCACAGCUGCAAAGAGAACGAAUGCAGGUAUGCUAAGGAGGCAUCUUCAUCAAGAGUUGGCAGCCAUCUCAGAAACAGAGUAAUCAUAUAUUUUGAGGUCAUCAUUGCUUUCAAGGCUGUGAUCUCUGAGCUGUUGCCUACAGUGGAGAUUCUGAGUAAUUCGCGGCUUAUUACACAAAUAAAAGAUUGGCAUGCAUUUGAUUGAAAAUAUAGAGAUGAAACUGUAUUUGUUUAAUUUUUUUUUUUUUUUUGUGUUUUUGGAUUGUGAUUAUUUUAAUGUAUUUUCUAAUAAAAAAAAUAUUUUAAAAAACAAUUUUUAACACUCCAAAACAGGCCUUCAAGGUAUUAAAGUUUGAGGUACUUCUUCCUUGGUAUUCAUUACUAUUAUUUUUCCAGUUGAUGUGCGUAUUUUAUGCUACAAAACUAAUACUUUAUCGUCAAAUAGCUAAAACUCGACUAGCAUUAGUGCCCUUCCUUUUCUCAAGAGGUCUUUAAUUAAUAAAAAAAAAUUAAAGAAGAAUUGAUAGGAAAUACUAACAAACUUGGAGAUAGAAAGGAUUCAAUCACGAUAUAUUUGAAAUUAUAGGGACUCAAUUGUUAAACUUUCAUAUUUUAUGACAACUUAAGAAUUGUUAAAAUCUCAUUCCAAAAUCAAGUUAUUGAUUGGGUCCUUAAUGUUUCGGAUAUUUCUCAAUCGGCUUCUUCUUUUCAUGUCCAUUACUUUUAUAUUUUUUCCUUUGACAGAAAGGAUUGAGUCAAGAUAUAUUUAAAAUGUUAGGGACUCAAUUGUUAUGCUAAACUUCUAUAUUUUGUGACAAAUUAAGAAUUUAGUAAUACUUUAGAGGUUAAUUUGAGUUUUCUCUGUAAUUAAACAGCACCUAGCUUUUGAACGAACUUGAAUAGCUUGUUGUCUUCUCCAAUGCAAACAAUCAUCCAUGUGGUAAACUGCUUGUUAUUUGGAUCUGUAGAUUCUCUUUUUAGAUAUUAUUAGUUUAAUUUUUUUUUACAUAAAAAAUAUUCAAUUGUUCCAUCGUUUAAUUCAUGAUUCAGGUUGUAAGAUAUGAUAAUCUAAUAUAAAGCUGAAAAAAAUCACGAAGUCUAAUACCUAAUCAAUAUAAUAUUAAAAAAUAAAAUUAAAAAAUAUACAAAUUAAAAAAAAAAAAAAAAAAACACAAGUUAACCAACUAAACUCGCAACACAUAUCAUAAGACCAGGAUAAUAAACAGAAACAAACCACUAUUGAUUUUGUUUUUGUUAAUGUGACCAAUCCCCAAAGUGAAAAACAUGAAAAAUAUCCCCCUCCCUCUCAAGCCAUGGUUUCAGUCACUAAGAACCACCACCCCUCACAUAAGCCACCCAAGAACCACCACUUGAGCCUUGUCUUGCAUCAUCCUAUACUCAACCAGAAAAGAAAACUGAUUAGCUUAGACUUUGAAAGGGAAAUAAAAUUAGGUUAACAAAGCAGAGUAAAAACAAAGUGCACUAAAGUGAGGCUGCCAUUGUAAAACUGAACAACAAAUAUAUAGAUCCAGUACAUUGAUCACCAUCAAUCAUAAGAACAUAUGUUGCUCAGCUGCAACAUUUCUGUUUGUUAAGUUUUUUCAGCAAGGAAACCAACAACAUCCGGCAUAACAUGGCAAGAAAAACUUUUCCUAGAAGCAGUAUGAAAUAUUCCAAGGAUGGCAGAGAACUCAGUCUUCAUAAAAAUUGCAAAAGCAUUUCGAUUGAAGGCUAAAAUUUUCUAUUUUCCCGAAAACAGCUUUCAAACUAAAUCGAUAAUUUGAAAGUUGAAGGCCAAUCUUUGGAGCAACGAUCACCACAACAACACCAUUCUAAAAAGUUAUCAUUUUCGCUGAGCGAAAUCCAACGGUUUUUUUACUGCUUGAGAAAAGAAAAAAGUUUUCUAGCAGCAGCAUAAGAAUUAAAAGAAAAAACUCAUACCUAUUAGUGAUGAAACCAAAUACUUGACCCAUCUUCCUCUUCAUCUUCAGUUCUGCAAGCAGCAACAGCAGAUUUGAAACCAAAAUCUUGUAACCCAGAAAACGGGAUUCCCACGUCUUGUUAUUUUUCAUCUAACAAAAAAACUGAAGAAACAGGGGUUCUUCUUAAGAAAUAUUCCGUAUAACAUGGAAAAUUAAAGCUUCCAUGAUAAAUUGGUGGCUCCUCCUCGCUUCAAACUCCAAGAACCUCAGCUUACACUUGUCAUUGGUGACCACUCCAGACGAUGAAUUCGCCAAUGACAUAGAUUUUUUUAAAAAAGAAGCUAUAAUUCAAGACAGCUUAUAAUUAAUCGUCACUAAUGAAUGAUCAAGAAGAAAGAAGGAAAAACUUGUAAUCAUUAAUUUCAACACUUGAUGAAUCUUGAAUUUGAUUAAGCGAUAAAAAGCUUUUAGUGAAACCCUAAAAUCAACAUCAAACCAAAAAAAAAUCAAAUAUAAUCAAGAUGGAAGUAUAAAAAAAUCACCUGGCCAUUGAUCAUGUUCUCGGACCUCUUCAACUGAACCAACCUCUCCCCAAACUAAAUACCCAAUCUCCACAAUCUAUUCCCAUAAGCCUGGAUGUGAUUGGCAGUCGCCUUGUAACCUUCAAUUUCCACAAUCAAUGAUGUCUCCUUUGUUUCUGCCUGUUUCAUACCUCCUCUCCUCUUUCUCACAUCGAUUUGUUUUAGAAGAGAAGGAGAAGAACUGGCGAUCGCCAAUAGCACCAUCUUCACCCUCCUUUUCUUCUACCUUCCCUGUGAUUCUUUUCUCGCUUCUUCGUCUUGUGUGUGUGUAUAAAUAAAUUAUACAAUUUAUUUAUUUAUUAGUGGACAUCAUUUUUAAUUUAUUUGAUUAUAUAUAUUCAUAAAUUAUUUAAUUUGUCAAAUUUUUUAAACUAUAAAAAUACAUUACAUAUAUAUACAUAAGGUAAACUUUUAACUUCUAUUAAUCUCUCAUGAAGCAUAAUCCAAUUCAUACAAUUCAACCGAUAAAUUUACUUAGCAUGUUAGACAUGUUAUAAAUUUAUAAUUUUAAAAACAUGGUUCAUCAUUAAUUUUAAUUUUUAGGAUUAAAAUUUUAUUAAAAAUUAUUCUUUAACAAAAAUAUAUUGAUAUGAAACAUUAAUAUUUUUUUUAUAAAAUUAAUGAUAAAUAAGAAGUUGAUGUCAAAAUACUUGGUUAAUAUGUUUUAUAAAUGCAAGAAUCCUUCAAGAAUACUUUUAUAGAUGAGAGGUUUUAGGCUAAAUAAACUUUGUAUUUAAUUUACAUGGGCUUUUUUAGCAUGAGCUUGAGAUAAGGUAUGUUGUAAAAUAAUUUUUCAGGCUUAUAAAAAUUAUUUUUUAAGGUAGUAUAUGAACAAUUUAUUUGAGCAAUUAUCUUUUUUUAUUUAAAGAGUUUUAUUUUUUAAUGUCAAACUAUUAAAUUAUUUUUAUGAUGGAUAAUUAAAAAUGAUAAACAGAGAAGAUUAAUCCAUAAAAUAAUUUUGAUAUAAGCAAUUUGAGAAAUUUGUAUGAACAAUUAUCUUUCUAUGUCUAGAAAGUUUUAUUUUUAAUGGAAAAAAACUACUAAAUUAUUGUUUAAUGAUUGAUAAUUAAAUUUUAUAAACAAUAAGAAUUAAUUAAUUUUGCACCACUUUUAAUUCUAAAUUCUAGUAUAAAUAGGGAAUGAAAAUGGAGUGUUUUCCAUAACUUUCAAUUGUUCCUUUGCCUUCUUCUCUUUUAUUGUUUUUAAACUUCCUUUUCUCUUUUUUCUUUUUAUUAUAAAGGUUAAGUUCUAGUACUUUGUAGAGAAAUAUUGUAUUUAAGAAUAAAUGAUUUAAUUCUUAACAACAAUAUUUUUCAUUCUUUCUCUAUUAUAUUAACACAGGUUUUAAUUUAAUACUUUGUAUUUUAAGUAUAUUACAUUAUUUUGUAUACGCGAGUUCAUAGUAAGAACACUUGCAAUACACAAUAUUUCCUGACUUUAUUUUUUUUAAUUAAAGUUUUAAUAUAUAUAAUAGAAGCCAAUGAUGCAAUGAAAAUGAGGCAAACUAAAUGGAUUUCGAGUGUCAUGGCUGAGAAAGAAACUCAAAGUUUGUGAAUUUAUGUCUCUUCUUUCAAAAGGGAUGUGUAAACAGUGCUUAGCAUAGCGGUUUAUGACUUUUGAUAGAUUUGAUGUAAAAAUUUCAUCUGAUAAGAACGUAGAUCAGUUUAAACCGAACAAGCCAACUAGGACUCUCUUAGCUAGGUACACAACCAGGAAAUAAGGUGGAAGAUUACAGUUUAUCAUAAUGGUAUUAACUUUCGAAGAACUAGUAUCAUUCAUGGGACAAGCCUUCCCCUGCACAUCAGCAGAGUAUUUCAUAUUAAAUCACCUAAUUAUAUGCAUUUUCAAUCAAGCUGAGUGAUUCUGAAAAAUAAUAAGACAUGGAAGAUGACUCUCCACAAGUGUUCAUUGGCUUCUCAUCUGGAUAUAGAACAGGUCUCGGAGGCAGUUGCAGGCUUUCCAUGUCUCCUUCAAGCAUCUCCACAACUUCGUUCAUUGCGGGCCGAUUCAGAGGGUUCAUUUGUAUACACCACAACCCUGUAAUAAUCAUCUUCUUGACUAUCUUUUCUUCCUCUUCCGUGCCA